rnacentral:ncRNA from 1 species
AAAAGUUCUCAGGCAACUCAAAAGCUUAUGAAAAACGUAUUGUGGUGGAUUUCUUAAAAAAAAAAACAUAGACACUUUUUCUUGACAUCAUCGUUAAAUCUUCGAUGAUACUUUCCUAAACAAACUACCAACACCACAGAAAACAUGUAAAUAAAUCUCAAUACAUAUUUUACUAAUUUGUCUGUUCGUGACACGCCAAUUUGAUUCCUUUGAAAUGUGGUUGUCAUGGUCUCCAAGCGUCAAUGGGAGAAAAACAGAGAUAUCUUCAGGCGAAAUCAGGAACAGACAACAUGGGUGUAAUCUUCUUUUAAUUGUCGAAAUUGUUAUUUAUUUGUGGGAACCUUGGCGACAUUUUCUUGAAAUUCUUGGAUCGCCGCAAGACGAACCACUGCGAAAGCAUUUGCCAAGAAUGUUUUUGUUGAUCAAGAACGAAAGUUAUGGGCGCGAAGGCGAUCAGAUAUCGCCCUAGUCACAACCAUAAACGAUGCCAAUUAACACAACCAGCGAUCCGCCGGCGUUACGUCGAUGACUCGAUGGGCAGAAACUUGAGUUUCUUCACU